rnacentral:rRNA from 1 species
CCCCUAGAUGUUCUGGGCCGCACGCGCGCUACACUGACCAGUGCAACAAGCAUCCGUCCUUGGCCGACAGGCCCGGGCAAUCUUUGAACGCUGGUCGUGAUGGGGAUAGACUUUUGCAAUUUUUGGUCUUCAACGAGGAAUUCCUAGUAAACGCAAGUCAUCAACUUGCAUUGAUUACGCCCCUGCCCUUUGUACACACCGCCCGUCGCACCUACCGAUUGAAUGGUCCGGUGAAGCCUCCGGAUUGGCGCGCACCUCGGUGCCGCCGAGAAGUUGGCUAAACCUUACCAUUUAGAGGAAGGUGAAGUCGUAACA